UUGAAUUGAAGAGUUUGAUCAUGGCUCAGAUUGAACGCUGGCGGCAGGCUUAACACAUGCAAGUCGAACGGUAGCAGGGAGGAAGCUUGCUUUCUUUGCUGACGAGUGGCGGACGGGUGAGUAAUGCUUGGGGAUCUGGCUUAUGGAGGGGGAUAACGACGGGAAACUGUCGCUAAUACCGCGUAAUGUCUAAGGACUAGAGGGUGGGACUUUCGGGCCA
rnacentral:rRNA from 1 species